rnacentral:sRNA from 1 species
UAUUUUACUCAGGUGAGCGAUAAGGCCCUUGCACCUCUUGUAAUUGGUUCAGUGUCGUGGGAUGCCUGGCAUUAUGAUGGAUAAUUUGUCAAUGUAUCACAGAGCUGCAGAUUUGUAGCAUUUAAUUGUUACCUGCUUGGAAUUAAAUUUAGAUUGUGAAGGAAUUGAAGUAUUUAUAGCUAGUCUACACCUUGUGACUGGUACGUAUGACAAUUGAGGACAAAACUUUCUGAUUAUUAAGAUAAGAUGAAAGUGACUAAAAUUAAAUCAAGAUAUAUGUUUUAAUUUGAUAGCGGACCAAUGAAAAAUAAAUUAAUAUAGUUCUCAAAGCAUAAAGUGAUGAAUGGGUUGCUGAUCUGUUGCAUGAGUUUUUUUUUUAUCAAAUACUUGAUUUAUAGAAAAUACUACGUAGACAUUUCUAACCCUGUGUACGUAACUGUGAUUCUCCCUGAAUGUUUUAUGAGCAAUGGUACAAUGUAGAUGGGCUUGCUUGUAGUAUUUUGUUGUAGAUGUGACAACACCUACACUCCAAUCAAGCUUUUUUGUCUGUGUUAACUCUCUAGAAGUGUUCCUAAUAAAAAAAAUAAAGUAUUUGAUGUUAUAUAAUAAAAUGAACUUCUAUUUCUGUGUAUUGAUUUUCUAGAAGUGUUCAUUAUGUUGUUAUCUUUUUUUAAAAUAAAUUGUUAAUAUAUUUAAUGUUUUAUAACAAAUCGACACUAAGCUAGUUAGUUAAAUGAAUGUAUAAUAAAUGCAGAAACUCAC